CUCGCUCCUCACCGUCGGCCUCGCCACAGCUAACGUCGUUCCAUCCUCCGGCGAUCAGCCAGCACAGAGGACGUGACAGGAUGUCACACAAAAUAUCUCCCGUGAAAUACUCCAUAAAAUUUACCAUGUAGAGACCACAAGAUGACGUGCAUGAUUACAAAGUGAUAAAAAAGCUUUAAAAUUAUCAAACAGUCAUGACCGUAACAAGCCUUGGUGAAAAAAAACUCACCCACGCAUGUGAAUCAGCAUGCCCUACAAAAAAUAGUCGAUGUUGCUAUAAAAAAUGAUUUUUUGUAUAGAAGAUAAAUGGUUUGGACUUUGACUUCGCCGCACUCACUCACAACCACUCGUCCACUCACCUCACUCCUGCCCCCACCCGAUCCCCGGCCAGCGACGUAAGCGCUCUCUGGUGGCCGCCCGUCCCCUUCGUCACCACCACCGGCGGUCGCAGGCCCCUGCUCUGCCCCGCCCCUUGUUCGUAUCCACCAACGCCGGGGUCCUCCCUCCUCCUUGCGACGUAGGGUCACUUGAGCUCGGUGCUCGUCGGCGCCAACGGGGCCCUCCUUCCUUCUUGCUACGUGGCGGGGCUCGGGCUCGGCAUGGUCGCCGGCAACGCCAGGUACCUCAUCCUCCCUGCGACACGGGGGCACUCGAGCUCGGCAUGCUUGCUGGCGUCGAUGGGGCCCUGCUUCCUCCUUGCUACACGAUGGCGCUCAAGCUCGGCAUGGUCGCCGGCGACGCCAGGUCCCUCUCUCCUCCCUGCGACACGGGGGCACUCGAGCUUGGCAUGCUCGUCGGCGACGCUAGGGCCUUCCCUCCUUCCUGAGACACGGGGGAGUAGGACCAGCUGCUGCUCACGGUGUUCAUCAUGAUUAGGAUGACCACAAAGACAUGCGUGAUGUGUUGCUGCUCAAGACCCUCCAUAUGCUUAUCCUCCCUCGUCCGAGUCCAGGGUUAGCUGCUCAGGGGGCAUGGUGUGCUCCACGCGGCGCUGCCUUCGCCGCCGUGUGGUUGUGUGUCGUGCAUCACUGCGGCGUUGGGGCUGGGAAGGUCCAAGGCUGGUUGUCCCUGCUCUGGUUGUUAAUGGUUCAGUCAAAAAAGAGAUAGCUUUCUUCGAGGGCUAUGAUUUUAUUUAUAUCAUAGUAGUUGGUGCGUGUGUUGAUGAUGCAACCCUUAAUUGUUCAGAUUUCCCGAAGGAGAAGGAGGAGGUGCUGAAAGGGGAUUGGAUCAAGAAGUCUGAAUCGAAGAGUAUACCCAUCUCUAUGCAGUUUUCCUGUAAUACACUCUUUCCAUGGCCAUGUUGUGAGGUCUUUCCAUUUAUCAGAUUUUAGUUCCAUUUGAAGCGAUGCAUAUUGGAAUACAUUUUGCAGUCCUUCCAGUCGUUCCAUGAAAA